rnacentral:rRNA from 1 species
UACGUAGGGUGCAAGCGUUAAUCGGAAUUACUGGGCGUAAAGCGUGCACAGGCGGUCUUGCAAGACAGAUGUGAAAUCCCCGGGCUUAACCUGGGAACUGCAUUUGUGACUGCAAGGCUGGAGUACGGUAGAGGGGGAUGGAAUUCCGCGUGUAGCAGUGAAAUGCGUAGAUAUGCGGAGGAACACCGAUGGCGAAGGCAAUCCCCUGGACCUGUACUGACGCUCAUGCACGAAAGCGUGGGGAGCAAACAGG